rnacentral:rRNA from 1 species
GCGUGUGUGAAGAAGGCCUUCGGGUUGUAAAGCACUUUCAGCAGUGAGGAAGGCGGGUACGUUAAUAGCGUGCUCGUUUGACGUUAGCUGCAGAAGAAGCACCGGCUAACUCCGUGCCAGCAGCCGCGGUAAUACGGAGGGUGCGAGCGUUAAUCGGAAUUACUGGGCGUAAAGCGCAUGCAGGUGGUUCGUUAAGUCAGAUGUGAAAGCCCGGGGCUCAACCUCGGAACUGCAUUUGAAACUGGCGGACUAGAGUACUGUAGAGGGGGGUAGAAUUUCAGGUGUAGCGGUGAAAUGCGUAGAGAUCUGAAGGAAUACCGGUGGCGAAGGCGGCCCCCUGGACAGAUACUGACACUCAGAUGCGAAAGCGUGGGGAGCAAACAGGAUUAGAUACCCUGGUAGUCCACGCCGUAAACGAUGUCUACUUGGAGGUUGUGGCCUUGAGCCGUGGCUUUCGGAGCUAACGCGUUAAGUAGACCGCCUGGGGAGUACGGUCGCAAGAUUAAAACUCAAAUGAAUUGACGGGGGCCCGCACAAGCGGUGGAGCAUGUGGUUUAAUUCGAUGCAACGCGAAGAACCUUACCUACUCUUGACAUCCAGAGAAGCCAGCGGAGACGCAGGUGUGCCUU